UGUGUACUCCCUUCGUCCUAAAAUUCUUGUCUUACAUUUGUCUAAAUAUGGAUGUAUCAAGUCAUGUUUUAGUAUUAGAUACAUUCGUAUCUAGACAAAUGUAAGACAAAAUUUUUGAGACGGAGGGAGUAUAUG
rnacentral:pre_miRNA from 1 species